UUAAACUGAAGAGUUUGAUCAUGGCUCAGAUUGAACGCUGGCGGCAGGCUUAACACAUGCAAGUCGAGCGGAAACGAUGGUAGCUUGCUACCAGGCGUCGAGCGGCGGACGGGUGAGUAAUGCUUAGGAAUCUGCCCAGUAGUGGGG
rnacentral:rRNA from 1 species